UACGUAGGGACCAAGCGUUGUUCGGAUUUACUGGGCGUAAAGCGCACGUAGGCGGAUGUGUCAGUCAGGGGUGAAAUCCCGGAGCUCAACUUCGGAACUGCCCUUGAUACAGCACGUCUUGAGUCCGGAAGAGGUGGGUGGAAUUCCUAGUAUAGAGGUGAAAUUCGUAGAUAUUCGGAGGAACACCAGUGGCGAAGGCGGCUCACUGGCUCGGUACUGACGCUGAGGUGCGAAAGCGUGGGGAGCAAACAGGG
rnacentral:rRNA from 1 species